AAAUUCCCCCACUCAGGAUAAUUCCCCUGGGAUGAAGUCCCAAAGUGAAGUAUUGAGACUUGGUAAGAUAAUUUUAAAAGUUUUAUUUCCCCCCCCCCUGCAAAAAUAAAUGUACAAGGAUAGCCGAAAACAAUUUUUAAAAGUAGUGAAGUUAGACUUGCUUUACCAGAAAAAAAUAAUAAUGAAGAAAACAAUUAGUGACUUCGUCACAGGGCUAGGUAAAUGGAACAGAAUAGGAACACCCAGAAACAGACCACAGAAUGUGUAGGAAUUCAGCAACCAAUAAUGGAAUUAUUUCUUACUAAUUGUGUGGUUUUGAGUGAAUCUACUUAGCCUCAGUGUCCUCAUCUGUAAAAUGCUUGCUGGAUUUUACGAUGCUUUUUGUUGUCUUAAUGUUUCUGAAUAGGGAGUUGUCUUAUAGAGGUGCACAGGUAAGCCAGUGUCUUCUCUGCUCAGAAAAGCUGUCAUUGUUACUUACCAUUGAAGAAGUACUAUGGUAAUAGUAAAAUGUCUUGUUGAGAAGAGCACAUGAGAUAAUGAAAACAAAUCGCUUAGCACCAUGCCUGACAAGUAACAGUAAAUCCUAGCAGUUCUUCUAAAAUUAAGGGAGGGGGGGAAAGGAUUAUGGAUGUAUUGCAAAGGGGUGUUUAGAUGCAAAUAACAUCAUUGUUCAGCCCGUGCUGAUUGGCAGGUAGUAAAGCGUCGUGGUUGGCCGUGUUCCUGCUCCGUGGUGCAUGUAGGAACCCAGGCUCUCUCCAGUUAUCUGUCUGCUCUGCCAUCCUCAUCUGUAAAGUGGACUUUGACCUCAUGGUUGUUACUUGCCAGCCGGUGCCCCUGAGCAGGAAGGAGGAAGUGAAAGAGCGGGCACCACGCUGUGCUCUUACAUGUCAUUAGCCAGACCAGCCACCUGUGGCCUCUCUGUGCAAAGGAUAGAUUUGACUUUACCUCAGUUUCUAACUUCCUACCGACUCCACGGUUGAGGUGUACAAGGAAAAUGGAUGUUCAUUAAACAGUAAUGAGAUAAUUGGCUAACUCUUAUUUAAAACGUUAGAUUCUCUUUCUCACUCUAUGCCAGAAUUUAAUUCUAGACAAAUUAGAAAUUUAAUUUUUUUAAAGGCAAGGAAAUAAAGGUGUGUAUUUCUAUAAUUUCAGGGUGGGAAAGCAUGUUCCAGGCAUGCUACUAAAAGCAGAAACCUUAAACGAAAAGUGUAAUAUAUUAACUUUAACCUUUUAAAAAGGUUAUGUCCACGUAAGAAACAUUCAAACCUGUGCAGACUCUUUGUGAGUUUGUUUGAGCCAAACUGUUGACAAUUUCCGGGAAGCAACAUCUCAACAGAUCGAGAAAAUGCUCCAGAGAAUGGCGGUUUUGCACCUUAUUUUAUACAUUACAAUCAAAAGAGAAGACUUCGUGGGUUAUAUGAAAUUCACUGGUGACAGAUUAGGGAAGUGAGAGAAAGCAAAGUGGGGACCUCUGGGAUUGGAUAAAAAGGUAAGUGAUAGGCAUAUACAUCUUUUCCAUAGAGGGGUACAGGAUAAUUAAGAGUCAACCAUUAACAC